CCCUCGAUGGUGUAGUUGGAUAUCACGUUCGGCUGUAAUUGUUACGCAUUCUGCUACCGAAAGGUCACCGGCUCGAUUCCGGUUCGAGGGA
rnacentral:tRNA from 1 species